GCAAGAAAUCCUCAUACAUAGAAAGGAGACCGAACCCUACGGCACACCUGGACCCUCCCGGGCGAAGCAUACUUUCGUUACACGGGACCUAAUUGGAUCCUUGUUCUCCUCAAUAGAGUCAGUAAAGACCUCAGAGUAAAAUUGAAGCUACUCUUCUGGAGGGUCUGGCACAUAGGAAUGAUGCAAUAUUCAGAAAAGGAGAUUGUCCGAUCUCAGCCUCGGUGAAUUUUUUGGAAAACUAUCUAGACUCUUUGAACCCAGAAAGAAAGGAGAGCAUGGAGAGUGCCAAGAAGCAGGCAGUCGGUGCCGUGACAGUGGUCAUGCUAAUGGUGGUUCUGCAGCUGAUGACAGCUCCAUCGGCCAUGGCCCUCACACACAAGCCGCACAGCUCCCACAUUUUGGUGUCCAAGCUAGGAAUGCGACGGCUCCUCUUCUGCACCCAACCGUUGGGGACCUCGUGUACUUCUGUUACGCAGUGCCCUCAAGGAGUACUUGUUGCAUGUAUAAAUGGAAAAUGCAUGGCUUGUGAUCUCUGAUGGUACGUACUAAUCUUCUCCGCGGUGUUGAAGCUCUUUUUUUUUUGGCUUUUUUUCCCCAUGCCAUGUGUAUUUUCCUACUGGCAGACAGACAGCAAGGAAAUGGGUUCCACAUACAUUUGGUCAUUGCUCUUAAAUAAAUGGAAUGCACUGCAGGUGUAGCCAGUGCCACUCUGUCAGCAAAUUAAAUUGAGUGUUUACUCUGUAUUCAAGUAUAAACAUCUUUUUUUCUCUAAUCAA